ACGAAUUCUUCACUUCAAUUUUUUCCAUGUGAAACGUAAACGUUUUGUACUUCUCCUACCAGUAGCCGUGAAAGUUCUAUUUUGUAUUGGAGAUCUUGAGCUAGCCUUUCGUAGGGUGGAGUUUUUCUUGCAAGUCUUUACGACCGACUUUAACUCAUUCAGUAGAGGGCUUCCAACAAUUCAAUAAGGAACAAAGUUAUUGUGGAAACUGAGAUAGCUGGUUUGAGGGGUGCUGUUGGGUAGUACAAUGUAAUACAAACGCUACCCUACAAGUCAGUGGCACCGAUGCAUAAAUCAGCCUAUGUGGUGGAAUGUCCACCACAGUUAGAAAGAUUAACUUUAAUUCGCAUUACUAUUAUGGCAAGGAAGUCUUGAGGUAUCAAACUUAGAAUUAAAAGGGUUCAGUCCAAGUGCAAUAUAAUGAAUCACUUGCUAACUUUGCUUGCUCAAGUUCUACUGAGGAAUAUUGGCCAUCAGUUAUUUUUGUAAGGGCCUCAGGAAAAUGUUCUCUUGUAUGGCCCUCAGGCUUAGUAAGAAGUUAUUAUUUGCAGUUAUAGCUGAAUUCAUCUGUUACAAUGACAUUAAUUUUAUAAAAUGAAUGAGAGACAGUUGAUUUCAUUUUCAUAUUUUUAGUUAAAAGUUAUGGUGACGUAGUGGACAUGGCCACCAUGUUCACUGCCCUGGCCACUGCCACUAUGCUGUCAUUUGUGGCUCUAAUUAAACAACCAAUGUAAUUUCACAGUCGUUAACUAACCAAUCUCUGUUGGACAGUAAGAAACACACUUAGUAUGUCUUAAAUGAAAACAUCAUACCAUGGAAAGUGCUUGAACAAUUUUCAUCCACUUGUAGCUUUGAUU